rnacentral:rRNA from 1 species
UACGUAGGUGGCUAGCGUUGUCCGGAUUUACUGGGCGUAAAGCGCGCGCAGGCGGUCGUUCAAGUCGAGUGUGAAAGCCCCCGGCUCAACUGGGGAGGGUCACUCGAUACUGAUCGACUUGAAGGCAGAAGAGGGAAGCGGAAUUCCCGGUGUAGUGGUGAAAUGCGUAGAUAUCUGGAGGAACACCCGUGGUGCAGACGGCUUGCUGGACCGUGACUGACGCUGAGGCACGAAAGCGUGGGUAGCAAACAGG